GCUAUUGUUCAAAUUUCAAAGACAAACAUUGGGUUUGUCCAUCAACUGUGUCUCCAGGGCUUCCAUCGAGGUACUCAGCCUCGGUGAAGGUGUGAUCCCUGCCCAUGGGAUGAAGGUGUGAUCCCUGCCCAUGGGAUGAAGGUGUGAUCCCUGCCCAUGAGAUGAUGCAGAUCUGGCUUCUCUCCAGCGCCAGAGAUUGUCCUGCACCAGGAGAGAAUCUACAGAGCAAACCAGUUGGUGCUGAGUAUCUAGAAUCAAUGAGCAGCUGCCAACACCUGUGACCUUCUCCAGCCCUGAACAAGGCCGACAGGGUCAGACUGCACCGGAGCUCCAGCACCAGACAACCAAGGAGGAUGUGACCCCAGCUGCUGGCUCUUCCCAGAAGCAGGACUCUGGAUACAGAUGUCCAUGUUGAAUGGCACAGACAGACCCACAGGUUGUGAUACUGCAGAGGCGAUGUGGUGAACGUCAGGCAUGUGAAGUCCUCAGGGCUACAUGAUCAGAGGGUGACCAGCCUUGCAAUGGAGGAACUUCUUCCAAGUCCACAGUCUUUAGUCACUGCAAGAUUUUACACAGAAGCCUGCAAUGGUGAACGUAAGCAAGAAAUAGAGCCACAGAGAUUUGUAUGUGAAAGGAGCCAAUUAAACAUGUAACUCUCUUUAACGGGGAGAAGUGAGUAAACAAAAUCCG